UACGUAGGGUGCGAGCGUUGUCCGGAAUUAUUGGGCGUAAAGAGCUCGUAGGCGGUCCGUCACGUCGGGCGUGAAAAUCAGGGCUCAACCCUGGACCUGCGCCCGAUACGGGCGGACUAGAGUUCGGUAGGGGAGACUGGAAUUCCUGGUGUAGCGGUGAAAUGCGCAGAUAUCAGGAGGAACACCGGUGGCGAAGGCGGGUCUCUGGGCCGAUACUGACGCUGAGGAGCGAAAGCAUGGGGAGCGAACAGG
rnacentral:rRNA from 1 species